GCGGAUCAUGAGGUCUGGAGAUCGAGACCAUCCUGGCUAACACGUGGUGUAAUAUUGUGGAUCUGACUUCAUGUGUCACUAAGAACAAGAGAUACAAGACUGCUGUUCUGGGAAUAAGACUUGGAAGAAACCUCCAUCCUCAGGGAUUUGGAGAAGGCUAUACUGGAACCUGUGUGAAGGCUGAGACAACUGUCCCUUUUGUGGUGGCCUGAGGGGAUUUUCUUAAUCCCAAUGUUGCCCUGUAAUUUAUGUCUAUGAUUCAAGAAGAUUAGGACUGCUAAGGUAUGGGUUUGUGACUUUAUUAUUUUCUAAGACAAAUGUGAUACAUUUAAAGAUACUUAUCUAUAUUCACAGCCUUUCUCCUCCCCCUUUCCCUAACCUUCUUUUCCUCUUUACUUUGUCUCUUAAAGGAAAGAUCUUUUCUAUCUUGAAAAGACCCCACCACUUAUGGGAAGUGUUACCACAGGUAAAGAUACAAUGGUAGAAACUGAAGGAAGCCUGCAUUGACUCUAUAAUAAAAAGGGUGGUCAGAGGGCAAAGACAAAGCAUGCAGACAGGUUUGUGCAGGUGUCUCAGCUAGAAAGAAAAGAGAAAUGAGGGUAGAUACUUAUGUGAUAAAAGACUUCAGGUAAAGAGAUGAGUAAAGAAGUGGUGCUGUGUAAUACACUAUUUAUUCGUAUUUACAGUGUCCACAGGAGACUUUGACAAAAUUUUGUUAUUCCUUAAGGUCUUUAGGGGAGCUGUCUUUGUAUUUAUUUUGGAUAUAUACCCAUGCUGGAGCAGACUCUAAGUUGAAGUCAAAAGGUCUCAAUUAUUUUUUUCUAGUUCAAAUGAUAAUUAUCACAGUAAUGGUAAUUAGACACUCAUCAACAAAGUAUGCAUUUGCAUGCAUAUAAAUACAUCCUUAUACACAUACAAAAACCUGUAUGAUAAAUAUAUGUAAUUUAUUGAAUGGUAUCUCUGUGUGUGUGUGUGUGUGCAUGCGCAUGUGUAUAUGCAUAUAUGUGUAUAUAUAUAUAGAGAGAGUGUGUCGGGGAGGGAGGGACAGAUGGAGUGAGGGGAGAGAUAGAAUGCUUAGAACCACCAUUUGUGGAGUGUGUAUUGUGAGUCAGGCAUUGUGCUAUGAGCUUUGAAAAAAAAUAUUAUAAGCACAGCUCAUAACAACCAUCUGGAAUAGAGAUUUCUGUUCUGGGAAACCAAAGGGGAGAUAAGUAAAAAGGUUUUCUAAGGCUGUGUAGCAAGAAAGGGUCAGGGGCCAGACUCAUUCCCAGACUUGGUAGAAUUUAAGUCUCUGUGCUCAUCUACUGUAGAGAGUAGUAGGAUUGCAUUCACUACUAGUUAAAAGCACUGGGGAAAAGAUGAUUUUACAGCUUAGAACCACAUGGCAUAUUCAAGAGAAGUUGUAGGAUGUCUCUGAAAAUUCCAUUGGUAACUCAUUUGAUGCCCUUUUAAUCUCUUUCAAAAAAGAAAGAAAAAUAAUCCUUCAUAACCCAAAGGCUUCUGGGAACCGGGAGACCAAUGUAGGUGAGGUGUAGCAUUGGCUCCCUUCUCUUGGCACCAUAGGUCAUAUGUCAUGCGCGUGCAAGGUAGAAGUGUGGAGCUGUUGAAUAUCACUUUAGUUAUGGCCACAGGCCUGCUGUCAUUUUAUUUCUGAAUUUCUCACUGCUAGAGUAAGUGUGGUGUGUGCUCUUAGCUAGUCAUGAAUGGGCCUUCCUUUGAGGAUAAAGCACUUUCUAUCUAGUAUUCCCAAAUGCCAGUGAAUAAAUGAUUGAGCUGUGAUGUUCACAUUGCUUGCAGAAGUGCUAGAAAGCAUGUCAAACAAACACUCCUCCUUCUCUAGGCAGAAUAACUGUUUCUUUUUUUUAUAAACAAGAUAAAUUAUUUUUCUCUUUUUGGCAUCUUUAAGGAAGUUUAAGUAUAAAUACUUAGUAAGAAUUCAUUUUUUAUUAACAUGGUUUUAAGGGCCAAAUAGGUAAUUAACCAUUCAUAAAAGAAAAAUACAACACAGUGUACCUUUAUUGAGUCCUUGUACAAGUAUAAACAUCCUACAUAAUUGAUGUAUAGUUGUGGUACAGUUAUUUCUUCCCACUUACUCAUUUUUUUUAUUAUUACUUUUUUUUCGGAGUUGGAAUCUCACUCUG